GGAUACAUAAACUGCUUGAAUAUAGGUUAUUGGGACCCUUUUCUGUUAGAACUAAUUCAUUCUUAUAAAGAAUCUAUUUUGGUACUAAGGGUUGCUGAUAAUCAGCAGAUGUUCACAUGACCUAUGUUGCUCGAACUCUUCAAAAAUAUCGAGAGUUGCAUGUCGGAUCUGACACGGUGCGGCAGCAUUUUUAAAGAGUCCGAGCAAAAUAUCACAUCAGACAGUUGUUUGUUGAGGAUGUUACAUCUGAACAAACCUGGACACCUGUACUUACAUUGCCGAAAAGAAUGGUUGAUUACUUCAAAUUCUGUAUAAAAAGAAAUAAAUAAACUGCUAAUCAUUACUUUUUACUUU
rnacentral:lncRNA from 1 species